rnacentral:rRNA from 1 species
UAAUACGUAGGGGGCAAGCGUUGUUCGGAUUUACUGGGCGUAAAGGGCGCGUAGGCGGCGUGACAAGUCACUUGUGAAAUCUCCGGGCUUAACUCGGAACGGUCAAGUGAUACUGUCGUGCUAGAGUGCAGAAAGGGCAACUGGAAUUCUUGGUGUAGCGGUGAAAUGCGUAGAUAUCAAGAGGAACACCAGAGGCGAAGGCGAGUUGCUAGGCUGACACUGACGCUGAGGCGCGAAAGCUAGGGGAGCGAACGGGAUUAGAUACCCCGGUAGUCCUAGCCCUAAACGAUGAAUACUUGGUGUCUGGGGUUUUUAUACCCUGGGUGCCGUCGCUAACGUUUUAAGUAUUCCGCCUGGGGAGUACGCUCGCAAGAGUG